rnacentral:rRNA from 1 species
GCUCGUAGUUGGAUUUCUGUUGAGGACGACCGGUCCAUACCAUGUAUGCGCAUCUGGCUCGGCCUCGGCAUCCUCUCGAUAGACGUUUCUGCGCUUGAUUGCGUGGUGCGGAUUCGGGACUUUUACUUUGAGGAAAUUGGAGUGUUCACGGCAGGCAAUCGCCAGAACAUAUUAGCAUGGAAUAAUACUAUAGGAUCUUGAUUCUAUUUUGUUGGUUUCUAGAAUCUAGAUAAUGAUUAAUAGGGACAAUUGGGGGCAUUCGUAUCAACACGUCAGAGGUGGAAUUCUUGGAUUGUGUUGCGACGAACUACUGCGAAAGCAUUUGCCAAGGAUGUUUUCAUUGAUCAAGAACGAAAGUAAGGGGAUCGAAGACGAUUAGAUACCGUCGUAGUCUUUACCAUAAACUAUGCCGACUAGAGAUGGGGCAUCGUUCACUUACGACUUGCUCCGCACCUUAUGAGAUAUCAAAGUCUUUGGGUUCCGGGGGGAGUAUGCUCGCAAGUGUGAAACUUAAAGGAAUUGACGGAAGGGCACCACCAGGAGUGGAGCCUGCGGCUUAAUUUGACUCAACACGGGGAAACUCACCAGGUCCAGACAUAAUAAGGAUUGACAGAUUGAUAGCUCUUUCUUGAUUUUAUGGGUGGUGGUGCAUGGCCGUUCUUAGUUCGUGGAGUGAUUUGUCUGCUUAAUUGCGUUAACGAACGAGACCUUAACCUGCUAAAUAGGAGCGCAUAUCUCCGGAUAAGCGCCUUUCUUCUUAGAGGGACUUUAUGCGUUUCAGCAUGAGGAAGUUUGAGGCUAAAACAGGUCUGUGAUGCCCUUAGAUGUUCUGGGCUGCACGCGCGCUACACUGAUGCGUUCAACGAGUGUACAACCUUGCCCGAUAGGGUUGGGUAACCUUUUGAACACGCAUCGUGAUGGGGAUAGAUUAUUGCAAUUAUUAAUCUUCAACGAGGAAUUCCUAGUAAUGAUGGAUCAUCAGUUCAUCGUGAUUACGUCCCUGCCCUUUGUACACACCGCCCGUCGCUCCUACCGAUUGAGCAAUCCGGUGAAUAUUUCGGACUGAAACUUGUCGGGGCAACU